AUUGAACGCUGGCGGAAUGCUUUACACAUGCAAGUCGAGCGGCAGCGCGGGGGCAACCUGGCGGCGAGCGGCGAACGGGUGAGUAAUACAUCGGAACAUGUCCAUGGUCGUGGGGGAUAGCCCGGCGAAAGCCGGAUUAAUACCGGCAUAAGCCCGAGAGGGGAAAGCCGGGGACCGCAAGGCCUGGCGCGAUUGGGUUGGCCGAUGUCCGAUUAGCUAGUUGGCGGGGUAAGAGCCCACCAAGGCGAUGAUCGGUAGCUGGUCUGAGAGGAUGAUCAGCCACACUGGGACUGAGACACGGCCCAGACUCCUACGGGAGGCAGCAGUGGGGAAUUUUGGACAAUGGGGGAAACCCUGAUCCAGCCAUUCCGCGUGAGUGAAGAAGGCCU
rnacentral:rRNA from 1 species